ACUUGGUAUAUAUCCUGAGCUCCUCAGCAUGGACUGUAGUUGCAGAGAGAGAUAAGGUCCCCCUGAGCCUCUUUUUUCCAGGCUAAACACUCCCAAUUUCAAGAAAUUCUGUCAGUGGGCUAAAGCCCUAAAAUAUUCUUUCAGCACAAAUAUCACAAUGAGAGGAAGCAACAACAUG